rnacentral:tRNA from 3 species
GUCGGAGUGGUGGAACUUGGUAGACACGUACGGUUCAGAGCCGUAUGCCGAAAGGCUUGAGGGUUCAAAUCCCUCCUCCGACA